CCUACGGGGGGCUGCAGUGGGGAAUAUUGGACAAUGGGGGCAACCCUGAUCCAGCCAUGCCGCGUGUGUGAAGAAGGCCCUCGGGUUGUAAAGCACUUUCAGUGAGGAAGAACGCCUGGUGGUUAAUACCCAUCAGGAAAGACAUCACUCACAGAAGAAGCACCGGCUAACUCCGUGCCAGCAGCCGCGGUAAUACGGAGGGUGCGAGCGUUAAUCGGAAUUACUGGGCGUAAAGCGCGCGUAGGUGGUUGAUAAGCCGGUUGUGAAAGCCCCGGGCUCAACCUGGGAACGGCAUCCGGAACUGUCAAGCUAGAGUGCAGGAGAGGAAGGUAGAAUUCCCGGUGUAGCGGUGAAAUGCGUAGAGAUCGGGAGGAAUACCAGUGGCGAAGGCGGCCUUCUGGACUGACACUGACACUGAGGUGCGAAAGCGUGGGUAGCAAACAGGAUUAGAUACCCCUGUAGUC
rnacentral:rRNA from 1 species